GAUAUUGGACAGUGGGCGCAAGCCUGACGACGCAACGCCGCGUGGAGGAUGAAGAUCUUCGGGUCGUAAACUCCUGUCGAGCGGGACGAACACUUAUCCGGUUAAUACCUGGGUAGGCUGACGGUACCGCUAAAGGAAGCCCCGGCUAACUCCGUGCCAGCAGCCGCGGUAAUACGUAGGUGGCAAGCGUUGUCCGGAUUUACUGGGCGUAAAGAGCGCGCAGGCGGUCUUGUAAGUCGAAUGUGAAAGCCCCCGGCUCAACUGGGGAGGGUCAUUCGAUACUGCUCGACUUGAAGGCAGGAGAGGGAAGCAGAAUUCCCGGUGUAGUGGUGAAAUGCGUAGAUAUCGGGAGGAAUACCAGUGGCGAAGGCGGCUUCCUGGCCUGUUCUUGACGCUGAGGCGCGAAAGCUGGGGGAGCAAA
rnacentral:rRNA from 1 species